rnacentral:miRNA from 1 species
AAAAAGUCUAUUAGGUUGGUGCAAAAAUAUCUGUGGUUUUUGCCAUUAAAAGUAAUGGCAAAAGCCACAAUUACUUUUACACCAACCUAGAUA